rnacentral:rRNA from 1 species
GACGAACGCUGGCGGCGUGCUUAACACAUGCAAGUCGAGCGGUAAGGCUCCUUCGGGAGUACACGAGCGGCGAACGGGUGAGUAACACGUGAGCAAUCUGCCCUUCACACAGGGAUAACCCUCGGAAACGAGAGCUAAUACCUGAUACGACCACUUCAGGCAUCUGAUGGUGGUGGAAAGUUCCGGCGGUGAAGGAUGAGCUCGCGGCCUAUCAGCUUGUUGGUGGGGUAACGGCCCACCAAGGCAACGACGGGUAGCCGGCCUGAGAGGGUGACCGGCCACACUGGGACUGAGCCACGGCCCAGACUCCUACGGGAGGCAGCAGUGGGGAAUAUUGGACAAUGGGCGAAAGCCUGAUUCAGCAACGCCGCGUGAGGGAUGACGGCCUUCGGGUUGUAAACCUCUUUCAGCAGGGACGAAGCGCAAGUGACGGUACCUGCAGAAGAAGCACCGGCCAACUACGUGCCAGCCGCCGCCGUAAUAC